rnacentral:rRNA from 1 species
UCAGAGCGAACGCUGGCGGCAGGCUUAACACAUGCAAGUCGAACGGGCGUAGCAAUACGUCAGUGGCAGACGGGUGAGUAACACGUGGGAACGUACCUUUUGGUUCGGAACAACUGAGGGAAACUUCAGCUAAUACCGGAUAAGCCCUUACGGGGAAAGAUUUAUCGCCGAAAGAUCGGCCCGCGUCUGAUUAGCUAGUUGGUGAGGUAAUGGCUCACCAAGGCGACGAUCAGUAGCUGGUCUGAGAGGAUGAUCAGCCACAUUGGGACUGAGACACGGCCCAAACUCCUACGGGAGGCAGCAGUGGGGAAUAUUGGACAAUGGGGGCAACCCUGAUCCAGCCAUGCCGCGUGAGUGAUGAAGGCCCUAGGGUUGUAAAGCUCUUUUGUGCGGGAAGAUAAUGACGGUACCGCAAGAAUAAGCCCCGGCUAACUUCGUGCCAGCAGCCGCGGUAAUACGAAGGGGGCUAGCGUUGCUCGGAAUCACUGGGCGUAAAGGGUGCGUAGGCGGGUCUUUAAGUCAGGGGUGAAAUCCUGGAGCUCAACUCCAGAACUGCCUUUGAUACUGAAGAUCUUGAGUAUGGGAGAGGUGAGUGGAACUGCGAGUGUAGAGGUGAAAUUCGUAGAUAUUCGCAAGAACACCAGUGGCGAAGGCGGCUCACUGGCCCAUAACUGACGCUGAGGCACGAAAGCGUGGGGAGCAAACAGGAUUAGNNACCCUGGUAGUCCACGCCGUAAACGAUGAAUGCCAGCCGUUCGUGGGUUUACUCACAAGUGGCGCAGCUAACG